rfam:Gossypium hirsutum cultivar TM-1 chromosome 4, whole genome shotgun sequence
AGCCGUGUGAUGACCACAGAGCGAAUUAUUCUUUGGCCUUUUACUAAAAAAUACCGUGUGCUCGUCAUUUUAAGCGGUAUACGCCAAUUUUUGGAAGGGCGUUCCUUGUUGGAUGCC